rnacentral:lncRNA from 1 species
AUGCCCUGUGCCAUGCAGCGGCCCUUGGGGACUGGAUGCAUGUACAAUCCAUUUUCAAGCUGGGAUUGCUUGAACAAGGUUGCUUGGAUCUGCAAGAACAUUUUGUCCAGUCCCUACCCGACGCAGGGCCACAAACAGGUGCAGGACAGGAUUCUAGGUGCGGUUAGGAGAGGGGAAUGCUUCUUGGUUUCACCCUGGAGCAGGAUGGCCAUGGGGAGCCCUGUGGCCCCCCUCCUUCCCCUCUCUAUUUCUGGGCACUUCUGGGGCUGGAAAUAAAUUAGAAACGAAGCUUUUGGUGUCGAAACAGUCCCUGUAUGUAUUUCCUAGUGGAACCUUUGCUUCUCUCUGUCACUUCUUUCAAACGAUUGCAACCUUUUUUUCUUGAAUUGCCAGUUUAUGGCUUUUUUUCUUCUUCUUUUCUUUCUCUUUUUUUUUUUUUUUCACUACCGCGUGCGGCCGUGGCCGGGGCUGCGCUGCCACCUGGCGUCGCCGCCGAGGGAGGGCGCAGGGAAGGAAGGGGCCGGCCCCGCUGCCGCCCACCCGGCUGCACAGGGCAGGAGGACGCGCCGGGACGAAAUGC